UGCUCAGCUCCUCUCGCUGUCAUCACGGGUCUCCCAGUUUUAUAGUAACGCUGUGAAUUGUGGGCAGAAGAGCUCUCUGCCGCCCUCUCCUCCACCCACACUCCGGGGAGCCUAGGGGAGUGCUCCUCCAAGUGACCCGCCCACCAGGGUGCCGGAGAACCCGGCUCCUCCAUCUGUCAGCAUCCCUCCGAUCCCCGGAUCUCAGCCUUCUGCCACAAGGCUCAAAGAAAUGACUAAUCAAAGUUAAUUGAAUAAGUGGACAAGUAACGUGCAGAAAAGGGACCUUGCUGUUUACAUCUAAAGGGCCCAUCAGUGUUCAUGUCAUGGGGACAAAACUAGUGCAGCAGCUGUGAGGAGGAGGAGGGGGCGCUUGGUGAAGUUCAUAGCGGAAUCCGCACUGUCAUCUGGGACCAUAAACGUCAUAGCCAGCACAGGUGUGUUAAUAUCUUCAGUGAUAUCAGCUUCAGCAUGGACGUAGUCAGACAAAGGAGUGGAUCAAAAAAAUCCC